rnacentral:rRNA from 1 species
UACGUAGGGGGCAAGCGUUUGUCCGGAUUAUUGGGCGUAAAGAGCGUGUAGGCGGCCAAGUAGGUCCGGUGUGAAAACUCGAGGCUUAACCUCGAGAUGUCAUCGGAAACCAUCUGGCUAGAGUCCGGAAGAGGAGAGUGGAAUUCCUGGUGUAGCGGUGAAAUGCGCAGAUAUCAGGAAGAACACCCGUGGCGAAGGCGGCUCUCUGGAACGCAACUGACGCUGAGACGUGAAAGCGUGGGGAGCAAACAGG